CAGCAGCCGCGGUAAUACGUAGGUGGCAAGCGUUAUCCGGAAUUAUUGGGCGUAAAGCGCGCGUAGGCGGUUUUUUAAGUCUGAUGUGAAAGCCCACGGCUCAACCGUGGAGGGUCAUUGGAAACUGGAAAACUUGAGUGCAGAAGAGGAGAGUGGAAUUCCACGUGUAGCGGUGAAAUGCGUAGAGAUGUGGAGGAACACCAGUGGCGAAGGCGACUCUCUGGUCUGUAACUGACGCUGAGGAGCGAAAGCGUGGGGAGCGAACAGGAUUAGAUACCCGGGUAGUCCCUGUCUCUUAUAC
rnacentral:rRNA from 1 species